rnacentral:rRNA from 1 species
AGAGUUUGAUCAUGGCUCAGAACGAACGCUGGCGGCGUGCUUAACACAUGCAAGUCGAACGCGAAAGUUUUCUCUCGAGAAGAUGAGUAGAGUGGCGCACGGGUGAGUAACGCGUAAAUAAUCUACCCCUGCAUCUGGGAUAACCCACCGAAAGGUGAGCUAAUACCGGAUACGUUCUUUUUAUUGCGAGAUAGGAAGAAGAAAGGUGGCCUCUGAUAUAAGCUACUGUGCAGGGAGGAGUUUGCGUACCAUUAGCUAGUUGGUAGGGUAAUGGCCUACCAAGGCAACGAUGGUUAGCGGGUCUGAGAGGAUGAUCCGCCACACUGGAACUGGAACACGGACCAGACUCCUACGGGAGGCAGCAGUGAGGAAUAUUGCGCAAUGGGGGCAACCCUGACGCAGCGACGCCGCGUGGAUGAUGAAGGCCUUCGGGUCGUAAAAUCCUGUCAGAUGGAAAGAAGUGCAUAUGUAUUAAUAAUACAUAUGUUUGACGGUACCAUCAAAG